UUUUUUUUUUUUUUUUUUUAGAGUGAGUCUAGCAUGCGUCUGUACGGCUCUGGUGACCUACGGACUCGUUUUGAGAGCUAACCCGACAAGGUAAAGGAGAUUGAGGAGCUUUCAGGGAUAGGUCACGCGCUAGCGGCUCUUUAGGAUUUGUCGAGUCAGUCUGCUUCGUCAGCUUUCCUCCGCGGAUUGCUGGAGUUUUGGUGGGAUUCCACUAACACUUUUCACUUUCCGUGGGGAGAGAUGAAGGUCACCCCUUACGACUUCUCUAUGAUUACGGGUUUUCCUUUUUUAGGUGAUCAUGUAGUUAUAGAGGUCGUAACAGGGCAGGACUUGAGACCGAGGGAUCUCGUGGGGGAUCGUCUGGCGGCGAUCCUUCACGUAUAUCCUCAGUCUUUUCCGUACUCGAUUCUUGUCGACGAUUUGUCGGCUGACGAGGUUAACCGGCAGUGUACACAUGAGAAGCUGGCUCAGAUAUAAAUCGCCCACAUUCUUUCCGUUACUCUAUUGAGUGAUCGAGGGGAGCGUUUCCCUAUCGGGUUACUUACUUGCCUCAUAGACUUGGGGCAGUUAAGUAACCUGAACUGGGCGGAGGUGUCGUAUGCCCGUAUGCUUAGAGCUAUGGGCAAGGCGACCCGAGUAGUGGAUCCUGCGGCAGCUACUGAGGUGCCUCGGAUCUCCCUUACAUGGCAUGGUCGUAUCCUUGAGGCUUGGGGAUACUCGUACCUGCCUUUCCUAGCCCCCAAGGUGCUCGGGGCUCCUUGCUUUCCUAUCGGCCAUCGACUGGCUACGAUUAGGAAAAGGCGAGCUACUUCAGCCGGCGACUCUCGCCAGAGGAUUCUUUCGGUGACCCGUGCGUCGAUCGAUCUCCGUCCUUGGAGUUUGAUCGUUGGAGUCCCUGAGGAUAUCCGGCUUGGCAUUGUUCGUUGCCGGUUUUGGGCUCUCUACUCGGGACUCCCAGUGCUCUAGAGGACGGACGCUUGGUUUUUAGGCGAGCGCGUUCUCUGGCAGCAUUCGUCAGAGGAGCCUGUGGUUCCUGUGGAUCCUCCGAUCCGGAUGUUACGUCCGGAUUUGCUGUCGACCGAGGAUCGAGCUCAAGCGAUCCUUGGUUAUCCAGCGGAUCGGCUGGUGCUACCGGAUGCUCCUUAUCUGGCUUUCAUUGCAUCCAGGCUGACUCCUUUCCCAGCUUUUGUUCAGCGGGUCGAUCAAGGCGGUUGGGUGCCUCCUACAGCGGAGAUCACGUAUACUGAUGUUGUCGGGUCGUUAAUUCGUGAGAUCCUUCCUGCAGCGGAGGAUGAUGAGGGGAUACCGUUCAUUCCUGAGACGGUUGAGUCGGUUCUGCGGGAGACCGUGAACGACAUGGUGAGGACUAUACGUGCUUUCCGAGCUGCUUAUUGAAGAGCCCUCGUGACUUUGUCAUGCCGUGAUCAUCGGAUGAUUGCGGAUGUACAACAACCGUCUACCAGUCGCAGAGCACCCUGAUCCUUUUGUACACAUUUUGUUAUAUUUUUAGGAAACAAAUGUACAUAUUAUUUUGUUUUGUUGUACAUAUGACACAUUUUUUUUGUAUAUG